rnacentral:lncRNA from 1 species
GGAGGCUGUAAGGCAGCGUGUCCUGCAUGCCCAGCCCCUGCCAGGCUGGCUCCCAGUGCUGCCGGGUGUUCCUUGUUUGCUGUGGGUGACUCAUCCCAGCUCCUGCUGUCCCUCCUGCUGUCCCUGUGUGCCCACUGCUGCUGCCCGGGCUCACAGCCACCUGCCCUGCUCCCCUGCCUGUCCCAGGUGUCUCUCCCUGCAGAGCUGCUCCCAAGCAGCCAUGGGGAAUAACCUGAGCGUGCCAGAGGAAGCUGAGGAUGACAGCACCUGCACAGUGAAGAGUUACCAGCCUCUCCCCGAGUCUCCCGAGGGUAUCACAAAUGGAUCCGCGGUGUUUGCUCAGAGCCCUCCCCCGGCAGGGAAUGGUGAAGGUACGGACUGGGAAAGGGUUGGAAAUGCCCUGGGG